UACGGAGGGGGCUAGCGUUGUUCGGAAUUACUGGGCGUAAAGCGCGCGUAGGCGGCUUUGUAAGUUAGGGGUGAAAGCCCGGGGCUCAACUCCGGAAUUGCCUUUAAGACUGCAUCGCUAGAAUUGUGGAGAGGUAAGUGGAAUUCCGAGUGUAGAGGUGAAAUUCGUAGAUAUUCGGAAGAACACCAGUGGCGAAGGCGACUUACUGGACACAUAUUGACGCUGAGGUGCGAAAGCGUGGGGAGCAAACAGG
rnacentral:rRNA from 1 species